GCCUCCUUCAAAGAGAUUAUAUCAACACUCCCAAGAAGAAAAAGUUGGAAUGACUCAAAUAACGACUUUUUUUUGUAUCGAGGCUUCUGGUGUUACUCGUUUUUCAUUGAAGGAGUGAUGUCGGCUCAACAAAAUUUCCAAUCUCAACCUUCCGAUAUCGUCAUAUGCAGUGCACCGAAAACUGGAACAACAUGGUUAAAGUCCCUCACUUUUGCCAUUGUCACAAGAAUCACCUUCGAUGAUUCCACUAACCCUUUACUUGCCAAUCUAUCACAUGAUUGUGUACCACUUUUAGAGGUUGAUUUAGCCCAAUCUUCCAUCAAUCGAGACCCUAAAAAUCCUUUGUUAGCCACACAUGUCCCUUACUCAUCUUUACCAAGAUCAAUAAUUGAUUCCAGUUGUAAAAUUGUUUACAUUUGUAGGGACCCUAAGGAUUCAUUCGUUUCGUUUUAUCACUUCAUUGCUAGGCGCUUGGCAUCCAAAGACAUAAAGCCCCUUGCUUUAGAAGAGGCCUUUGAGCUUUAUUGCCAAGGUGUAAGCAAUUAUGGACCUUAUUGGGACCAUGUUCUAGGGUUUUGGAAAGCAAGUUUGGACCGACCUGAUAAGAUUCUUUUCUUGAAAUACGAAGAAAUGAUAGAAGAUACUGUUUUAUACGUUAAGAAAUUAGCUGAUUUCAUCGGUUACCCUUUCUCUUCUGAAGAAAUCAAAAAAGGGUCAGUCGACAAGAUCAUAAGCAUGUGUAGCUUCGAGAACUUAAGCAAUUUGGAAGUGAAUAAAAGUGGCAAACACCGUGAAGGAACUCCAGGGGUGAUUGAAAACAAGAUCUAUUUCCGAAAAGGUAAGGUUGGGGAUUGGGAGAAUUAUUUGACACCUGAAAUGGCUUCUCGGUUGGACUCGCUAACGUUACAGAAGCUAAAUGGUUCAGGCUUAACUCUGUGAUUGAAUCAUAAAGCAGCCAUGGGGUACAUUGUCCCUUCUUUGCAAUUUCUGCAUAUUAUGUUUCUAAAAAUAAUUUGUGUAUGCUUUUUGCAAGUAGCAACACUUCUCGUGUUGUUCAUGUUAACAUCAAUAAAAAGCAUAGUUGAUUCAAUAUGUGAAAUGUGAUUAAAAACAACAUGUAAAACACAAUGCGAAUUGGUUUAUAUGAGUCCGGAGGACCGAUAUAAAUUUUUUUAAAAAAUCAAUAGAUUCGAUAUAUAAAUGAUAUGAUUAAAUGAUAUGAAUUGAAAUGAAAAUGAUUGUAUUUUUUUAUAGUGGAAAAAGUAGCAUGGCAUGUUAUAAUGAUUUGUCGAUUUUCAUAAUGUAUGAAUCGAGAUAUAUGACAUGAAGAGAUGAAAUUCAAACGUUUGAAUCUUGAAUAUGUUUUCAUUACAUUUUUGUCGAAUUAAUGUUUAUGUUGGUAUGACUUGAUCAUAAAGGUACUGAUGAUCUUUAUUGUUCAAUGCACACUUUGUUUAUUCCAUGUGAGGUAUUAGUUAAUUUCGAAGACUCGAGGAGUGAUCCAACAUCCGAUCUGCAACUCUCGACUCAACAAUGUUUGUAUAGUUCCUUUACGUUUUGAUAUAUGACAUGUACUUAAGUUUUGAGUUAGUUUUGUAUCUUGGAUGGUCAUUUGGAAAAUUGGAUGGUUGAUGUGAAUUUGAGUUUAUGAAUAUGAAAUGUUUAAGUUAUCAUGAACAUUAUGUGAUGUUUAAAUGGUUAAGUGGUGUAAAUGGUCAUAUAUAUUAAGUUAGGUUUGAGUUAUGAAUGGUUAAAUUGAUAAACAUGAAUGAUAAUGACAUAGCAAAGGUAGUAUAUGAAGUGUUUGAUGUAGGUAUUAUGCUUGAAUGGAUUGGUUUCGCAUUGGUUAUUUUGGUUAGGUUUGUAUGGAUUAGUACCAAAUAAACAUUUCAAAACAGUAUGUCACGUUGUAACGAGAAAUCAAUAGUGAAUGAUGUCGCGACUUGGAAUCUCCCAAGUCGUGACGUCAACUCGAUAGUUUUAACAUUUUAUAUUUUAGUCCUUAAACGACCUUAGGUUAUCGAAAGAGCUGUCGUAUGCUCGUAUAAACCUUGGAUAUGUUUGUAUAAUAAGAUAUAAUGAUGUAUUGAUCAUAAUUACAUGUAUAAACUGUUGAAUUGAUAAAAUUUAGAUCGUAGUUGUUCUAACAACAAAUGUGAUAUCCCAUAGCUUGGACCUGUGAUCAAGUUGGGUAUGGGGUGUUACUAGAAAGGUGGGUUUGGAGAAGAAGAAUAGCACUUUGUAUUAUAAAUUUAAAAACAAAAACUCAAUCAGUAUAGUAAAUGGAGUUAGAGAAGAAAUAAUGGGUUUAGAAAAGAAGUAGAGUACUUUGUAUUAUAAAUUACAAGAAAAAAAUCUAAAAUUUCAAAAAAUUGAAACUUACCAAAGAAUCCAAAUAAAUAUAAUAUAAUACAACAUUUUGCUCUUCUCUCUUGCUCGAUAGGCCGUUGGUGGUAGAAGUUUUUAUGAUUCUCAAGAAUGAAAGCACUGUUACCCAAGCCCUGAUUUUGUUUCCUGGAAAUUCGAGCAGCAACAAUCGGUCUAAUAAUUAUAAUUAGUUAGACUUUUCUAGAUAAUAAAAUACUAUUACAUACCAAUUUUAUAAACUACUAACAAUAUAUAUUUGACAGUUAAAAGUUUUUUUUACAUAAAAUGAAUAUUUAGAAAAAUUUAAUUACGUCAACGUUAACAUACAUGAUCUAUAUGAAUGGAGUAUGAAAUAUGACGGUGGGAUUGUUAAAAUAUUAAUUGUAUAAAAAGUUACUAAAUUAUGCAAAACCACUUUAAUUUUACACCGUGUAAGUGAAUCUCUCCUCUUAUUUUAUUUUUUAAGUAUUAUAUUAGUAAUUUUUAUCUUACAUAUUUUAUUUAUGUUUUCUGGGUACAUGUUUUAUCUUAAGAUUUGUAUAAUUCUUUACACAAUAAUAAUUCAUUUUACAUAGUUAUAAAAAAUCAUUAAUUUUACAUAAAUUUUGAUAUAUUAUUAUAUUUUGAAUUUAUGUUUAUUUCUAUGUGACAUGAUAAUUUUAAUUAUUGAAAUUUUUUAUCUUCGAAUAAUUUUGUCAAAUAAUUUAAUAAUUAAAUAAUUAUAUAUAGUGUACAAAUCAUAUUAAAAAAUUAAUCUAACUUUACGAAGCAUAAUGAGCAGGUAUAUUCUAGUGAUAUAUUAAAUAUAUUAUAUAAUUUACAUAUUUUUUUUACCUUCAAAAAGUCAAAUUCUUGAUCAUUUUAGUCUUUUUUUUUUAUCAUUUUAGUUUUGAACCAUCAAAUUUCAAUUUUUUUUGACGUAAAAGUAGAACUACAAUUAAAAUUUUAACGUGAUUAAUGUGGUAGCCUGUAUAGUAGUGCAUGUAUACUUUAUUGUUAACAUGGAUGAUUAUUUUCAAAACUUUUAUGAACUUUUUGAAUUUUUAUUUUUAUUUAAUUUAUGAAGUAAGCGUGAAUUUUCAUGUGUGUCACCACGUUACUCCCGUUAAAAUUUUAAUAGUCCAAUUAUUUUUUCAGUUCAAAGAAAAACAAUUUAACAAAAAUUUGAAAAUUUAAAACAAACCGAUCCAAAAAAGUAUUAAGACAAAUGCAUUUAAGAGAAGAGAAAUUAUUUCGUACAUUGUCGAUAAAGCUUUUAUACUUCACAAGCAGAAUCAGAAGUUAAUAAGUAUCUUAUAGAGAUAUUAUAAAAUAUUAAUUUUUUAAAAUUACUUAUGAAAUAAAAAAAAUACACUUCACCCAAAUUAGUGUAAGAAAAAUAAUACAAAACUUGAUUCCAAAUCUUUUAAAAUAAUACAAAAAAAUCUAUCAACUAGAUUGUUUAGCGACAAAAUCAUGCAUGGGACAGACCUUGACAAUGGCUAAAUAAGCACUAGCUACAUUAUUUAUUUAUUUAGUCCCUAUAAUUCUGUUCCAAUUCAAGAAAUUUCGUGGUGGAUAUAAUAAAAAAAUUGUUGUUAAAAGCAAAUAAUUUUCGUCACUAAGUUCACAUGGUUCAAUUACAAAAAAAAUUAGUGUAAUUGUGAAAGAAAUUACCUUUUCUCUAAAGCUAUUUAUAGACCCAAUUUUUGUCAAAAUAUUUGCACUCAUUUCCCCUUUCUUUUUCCUUUAUGAAAAUGGCCUCCUUGAAAGAGAUUAUAUCAACACUCCCAAGAAGAAAAGGCUGGAAUGACUCAGAUAACGACCUUUUUUUGUAUCGAAGCUUCUAUUAUUACUCGUUUUUCAUUGAAGGAGUGAUGUCGGCUCAACAAAAUUUCCAAUCUCAACCUUCCGAUAUCAUCAUAUGCAGUGCAUCGAAAACUAGAACAACAUGGUUAAAGUCCCUCACUUUCGCCAUUGUCACAAGAACCACCUUCGAUGAUUCCACUAACCCUUUACUUACCAAUCUAUCACAUGAUUGUGUACCCCUUUUAGAGGUUGAUUUAGCCCAAUCUUCCACCAAUCGAGACCCUAAAAAUCCUUUGUUAGCCACACAUGUCCCUUACUCUUCUUAAUUACCAAGAUCAAUAAUUGAUUCCAGUGGUAAAAUUGUUUACAUUUGUAGGGACCCUAAGGAUUCAUUCGUUUCGCUUUAUCACUUCAUUGCUAGGUGAUUGGCAUCCAAAGACAUGAAGCCCCUUGCUUUAGAGGAGGCCUUUGAGCUUUAUUGCGGAGGUGUAAGCUUUGGGACCAUGUUCUAUGGUUUUGGAAAGCAAGUUUGGACCGACCUGAUAAGAUUCUUUUCUUGAAAUACGAAGAAAUGAUAGAAGAUACUAUUUUAUACAUUAAGAAAAUAGCUGAUUUCAUCGGUUAUCCAUUCUCUUUUGAAGAAAUUGAAAAAGGAUCAGUCGAAAAAAUUGUAAACAUGUGUAGUUUCGAGAAUUUAAGCAAUUUGGAAGUGAAUAAAAGCGGAAAACACCGUGAGGGAACUCCAGGGGCGAUUGAAAACAAGAUCUUUUUUCGAAAAGGUAAGGUUGGGGAUUGGGAGAAUUAUUUGACACCUGAAAUGGCUGCUCGGUUGGACUCGAUAACGUUACAGAAGCUAAAUGGUUCAGGCUUAACUCUAUGAUUGAAUCAUAAAGCAGCCAUGGGGUAUAUUGUCCCUUCUUUGCAAUUUCGACAUAUUAUGUUUCUAAAAAUAAUUUGUGUAUGCUUUUUGCAAGUAGCAACACUUCUCGUGUUGUUCAUGUUAAGAUCAAUAAAAAGUAUAGUUGGUUCAAUUGAAAUCGAUUCAAUCAAUAUAAUUUUAUAUAAGUGAUUUGAUUUUGUUAGUUUAAUAUUUAUGGAUAAACUACACCAACUCUCCUAAGUUUUGUAUAAAAUUACAUUUCGGUUACUCAACUUUCAAAAUUUAUAUCAUAGUUAUUAACAUUAUCAAAUUGUUACAUUUUUGUCAUUGGGCUGUUAACUUCUGUUAAAGAAGUAACGUUGCACCUUAAUUCAGAAGGUUAAUAGCUAAUUUGGUCCCUGAACUAUAGUUAAAAAAUUAUUUUAAUUAUUUUAAUUUUUUUUAUCUUCGAAUAAUUUUGUCAAAUAAUUUAAUAAUUAAAUCAUUAUUUAUAGUGUACAAAUCAUAUUAAAAAAUUAAUCUAACUUUACGAAGCAUAAUGAGCAGGUAUAUUCUAGUGAUAUAUUAAAUAUAUGAUAUAACUCUUUUACAUACUUUUUUUACCUUCAAAAAGUCAAAUUCUUGAUCAUUUUAGUCGCUUUUUUUUUUAUCAUUUUAGUUUUGAAUCAUCAAAUUUCAAUUAAAUUACCUUUUUUUUUUGGACGUAAAAGGUUCCCUAACAAGUAAAAUUUUAACGUCAUUGACAUGGUAGACUGUAUAGUAGUGCAUGUGUAUUUUAUUGUUGACGUGGAUGAUUAUUUUCAAAACUUUUAUGAACUUUUUAAAUUUUUAUUUUUAUUUAAUUUAUGAAGUAAGCAUGGACUUUCAUGUGUGUCACCAUGUCACUUUCGUUAAAAUUUUAAUAGUCCAAUUAAAUUUUCAGUUCAAAGAAAAACAAUUUAACAAAAAUUUGAAAAUUUAAAACAAACCGAUCCAAAAAAGUAUUAAGACAAAUGCAUUUAAGAAAAGGGAAAUUAUUUGGUGCAUUGCCGGUAGAACUUUUAUACUCCACAAGUAGAAUUAGGGGUUAAUAAGUAUCCUAUAGAGAUAUAGUAAAAUAUUAUUUUUUUAAGAUUACUUAUAAAAUAAAAAAAUACACUUCACCCCAAUUACCGUAAAAAAAAAUACAAAACUUGAUUCCAAAUCUUGCUCUUUUAAAAAAAUUUUGACUUCACCCCGAUGUGCUAAAAGUGUUUUAAUUAGAUCCUAGACUCAAUAGAUUAAACUCGUUUAGUGGAGUUUUAUCAUUCAUGUUAUAUAAGUCAUUCUAAAAAAAAAAAAACCCUAUAAAAAGGAUCAUCUUUAAGUCAUUCAAUACAACUUCAAAAGUGCAUAAAAUAUCAAAAUCUGAACAGAAGAUUUUGAUGACUAGAAGUUGUUUCUUAAAAUCCUAAAAAAUUGAAAAACUUAAAUAAAUUCUAAAGAAUGUCACAUCUUUUUGAUACAAUGACUAAGACUACCUAUAGCCACCCUCAACACUUAAACAGAGGGAUAAUAAGCUUUAGUACACUUGAAUUCAAGUUCUCCCCAACCCAAAUAUAAAAAAUAAAACCCAAACCCAAAUUAAUAUUUAUAAAUUUAUAGUCCCAACUUUAUAUAAUUUAGUUAUAAGUUUAAUGUAUAUUAUAUACAUAAUACAUAAAUAAUUUAAUUAAAAACCUAAAUCCUGCCUCAUUUACCAAUUCCCAAAUCUGAAAUUCCUAUCCCAAAACCUUGCACCAUUUACACUGCCAUCAGCCCCUCCUCGACUGUCACCUACUACUGCAGGCCACACGACCACACCCGUCCAGCGUCCACCACCAGCAAGCAAUUGAAAGCAAAGUAGCAAGGAUAAUGCGGCCAUGGAAGGCAAGAAUUGAAGACAAAGAAGAAAAGGAAAGGAAAGCAAGCUUUAUCACGUAAUAGAAGGUUUGAAUGUUUAAAAGAGAUUUCUCAUGCAAUUUGGUUGGAUUAAUUAGGUUAAUCUCUAAUUUUUGGUUUAUUUGAUUAUUGUUAUAAAAAAAUUGAAUCGAUUUAGUGCACACCUUAUUUUUUUUUCACCUUCUAUAUUCUUUCAUGAUCUUAUUGAUUCGACCAUAAAUUUUUUUUAUGAUAUGGAAUAAAAUUCUAAUCUAUUAGAUGUGAAUUGCUCUAAUCUAAGCAUAAUUAUUGUACAAUUUUGUUAAAAAAAUGAAACUAUAUAUUUUGAAAUAAUUAUGAAUAUAUUAAUAUUAGUCUGUUGAUGUGAACAAUUAUUUUUAAAACUUUUAUAAGAUUUUUUAUUUUUUAAUUUUAAAAAGUACACACGUUCUUUUAUUCGAGUUAUCAUGUUACUUUCAUUAAAAUAGUACAAUUAAUUUUUGUGUAAAAUUUAAAAUACACUUCACCUUUAAAAAAUAAAAAAAUGCAUAGGACAGCACUAACUACAUUUAUUUAUUAAUUUAGUUCCUAUAACUCUACUCCAAUUCAAGAAAUCACGUGGUGGACAUAAUAAAAAACUGAUAUUAAAAGCAAAUAAUUCUCCACACUAAGAUCACAUGGUUGAAUUAAAAAAAGUUGAUUGCGUAAUUGUGAAAGAACUUACCUUCUCUCUGAAGCUAUUUAUAGAUCCAAUUUUUGUCAAAAUACUUGCACUCAUUUCUCCUUUCGUUUUUCCUUUAUCAAAAUGGCCUCCUUCAAAGAGAUCAUCUCAACACUCCCAAGAAGAAAAGGCUGGACUGACUCAAAUAACGACCUUUUUUUGUAUCGAGGCUUCUGGUGUUACUCGUUUUUCAUUGAAGGAGUGAUGUCGGCUCAACAAAAUUUUCAAUCUCAACCUUCCGAUAUCGUCAUAUGCAGUGCACCGAAAACUGGAACAACAUGGUUAAAGUCCCUCACUUUCGCCAUUGUCACAAGAACCACCUUCGAUGAUUCCACUAGCCCUUUACUUGCCAAUCUAUCACAUGAUUGUGUACCCUUUUUAGAGGUUGAUUUAGCCCAAUCUUCUACCAAUCGAGACCCUAAAAAUCCUUUGUUAGCCACACAUGUCCCUUACUCUUCUUUACCAAGAUCAAUAAUUGAUUCCAGUUGUAAAAUUGUUUACAUUUGUAGGAACCCUAAGGAUUCAUUCGUUUCGUUUUAUCACUUCAUUGCUAGGCUCUCGGCAUCCAAAGACAUGAAGCCCGUUGCUUUAGAAGAGGCCUUUGAGCUUUAUUGCCAAGGUGUAAGCAAUUAUGGACCUUAUUGGGACCACGUUCUAGGGUUCUGGAAAGCAAGUUUGGACCGACCUGAUAAGAUUUUUUUCUUGAAAUACGAAGAAAUGAUAGAAGAUACUGUUUUAUACAUUAAGAAAUUAGCUGAUUUCAUCGGUUAUCCUUUCUCUUCUGAAGAAAUCAAAAAAGGGUCAGUCGACAAGAUCGUAAGCAUGUGUAGUUUCGAGAACUUAAGCAAUUUGGAAGUGAAUAAAAGUGGCAAACAUCGUGAAGGAACUCCAGGGGUGAUUGAAAACAAGAUCUAUUUCCGAAAAGGUAAGGUUGGGGAUUGGGAGAAUUAUUUGACACCUGAAAUGGCUGCUCAGUUGGACUCGAUAACGUUACAGAAGCUAAAUGGUUCAGGCUUAACUCUGUGAUUGAAUCAUAAAGCAACCAUGGGGUACAUUGUCCCUUCUCUGCAAUUUCGACAUAUUGUGUUUCUAAAAAUAAUUUGCGUAUGCUUUUUGCAAGUAGCAACACUUCUCGUGUUGCUCAUGUUAAGAUCAAUAAAAAGUAUAGUUGGUUCAAUUGAAAUCGAUUCAAUUAAUAUAAUUUGAUAUAAGUGAUUUGAUUUUGUUAUUUUAAUUUUUAUGGAUAUACUACACCAACUGUCCUAAGCUUUGUAUCAAAAUUACAUUUCGGUUACCCAACUUUUAAAAUUUAUAUCAUAGUCACUAACAUUAUCAAAUUGUUACAUUUUUGUCACUCGACUACUGUUAACUUCUGUUAAAGAAGUAACGUUGCACCUUAAUUCAGAAGGUUAAUAGUUAAUUUGGUACCUGAACUAUAGUUAAAAAAUUAUUUUCAUAUUUAAAUUUUUUUUUACAAUAAUUGUAAAAAAGUAAAAAAAAGUCUUAAAAAUAAAAUUCAUAUAAACAAGAAACAACUAAGAAUUUUGCUACUGUCUUUGCUCUCUCUCUCUUUUUUUUUUUUCUCUUUUUUCAUGCAAGUCAACGUUGGCUCCGCUCUUCCCUAAUCUUUAAAAAUAAUAUAUAUAUAGGUUUUAUUUAUAGCUAAAAGUAAAAUAUUGACUUGAAAUUUGAGAGAAGAAAGGUGGGUUUGGAGAAGAAGAAUAGCACUUUGUAUUAUAAAUUUAAAAACGAAAACCCAAUCAGUGUAACACCCCAAACCCAACCUAGACAUUAUGGCUGAAUCUUGAAGGUUACAUUAACUUCUUGAGAAUUUAGAUUGUUAUUUUCUGAAAUGUCAACUUGUUUUUCUGUAAAAGUAAAUUCUUAUAAAAAAACACGUUUUCACUUAUUAGUUGCAAAAAAAAAAAAAAUCCAUUCUACAAUAAGGGUUUCUUUAAAACAUUUGUUCUUUAGUACUAAAUUGAAAUAAUAGACCUAUAGUGAACUCGCUUAUUUUUCAGAAAAUUAGAUUUCUCAUUUUGUUUUGCAGUGGAAAAACUUUUACUUGUAUAAUUUUGAAAAUCGAACAUUUUUUUUAAUUAACAGAAAUCAUGUAGAAAAUUUAAACUAAUUAACUAAAAACUGAACAAAACCCAAAUCCAAAAUAAAAGUUCAAAAAUUAGUUCGACAGUCCAAAAGUCCAUAAAUUUUAAUUAAUAAUUAUUUAAAAUGAUCUUAUGCAAGAAAACUAAUACGAGCUCCCGAGUGCCGCCCAAUCCUAAUCCCGUGGGUUACCUGAAAUAUUAAGCAAGUGGGUGAGCUAAAAAGCUCAGUGUGUGCCUUACUCUACCCGUAAACAUGGACAAAUAACUCUACCAGUAAACAAUUCUACUAGUUGAAACAUGGAAAACACAACAAACAUAAUUUUGACCAACAUAAAGCCCACCAAUUUAAAUGACCCAAUCACCCUUCAAAAACCUAUCAAUACCUUCAUCUACUUAGCUUAAAAUUAGAUCAUCUAAAUUCCAAAUUAAGGCCACUCAAUGCAUAAGGUUGAUUUUAAAGGAGUUUUAUAGAUGUGAUUUAAAAGCACUAAAAUCACAUGGAUGAAUUACAAAAAUUUUACUGUGUACUCGUGAAAUAAAGUAACUUUAUUUACAUAGACCAAUUUUUAUUAAAAUAUUUGCACUCAUAUCCCUUUUUGGUUUAUUUGAUUAUUGUUAUAAAAAAAUUGAAUCGAUUUAGUGCACACUUUAUUUUUUUUUCACCUUCUAUUUUUUUUCAUGAUCUUAUUGAUUCGACCAUAAAAUUUUUUUAUGAUAUGGAAUAAAAUUCUAAUCUAUUAGAUGUGAAUUGCUCUAAUCUAAGCAUAAUUAUUGUACAAUUUUGUUAAAAAAAUACUUUAUUUUAUGAAACUAUAUAUUUUGAAAUAAUUAUGAAUAUAUUAAUAUUAGUCUGUUGAUGUGAACAAUUAUUUUUAAAACUUUUAUAAGAUUUUUUAUUUUUUAAUUUUAAAAAGUACACACGUUCUUUUAUUUGAGUUAUCAUGUUACUUUCAUUAAAAUAGUACAAUUAAUUUUUGUGUAAAAUUUAAAAAUGCACUUCACCUUUUAAAAAUAAAAAAAUGCAUAGGACAGCACUAACUACAUUUAUUUAUUAAUUUAGUUCCUGUAAUUCUACUCGAAUUCAAGAAAUCACGUGGUGGACAUAAUAAAAAACUGAUAUUAAAAGCAAAUAAUUCUCCACACUAAGAUCACAUGGUUGAAUUAAAAAAAGUUGAUUGCGUAAUUGUGAAAGAACUUACCUUUUCUCUAAAGCUAUUUAUAGAUCCAAUUUUUGUCAAAAUACUUGCACUCAUUUCUCCUUUUGUUUUUCCUUUAUCAAAAUGGCCUCCUUCAAAGAGAUCAUCUCAACACUCCCAAGAAGAAAAGGCUGGACUGACUCAAAUAACGACCUUUUUUUGUAUCAAGGCUUCUGGUGUUACUCGUUUUUCAUUGAAGGAGUGAUGUCGGCUCAACAAAAUUUUCAAUCCCAACCUUCCGAUAUCGUCAUAUGCAGUGCACCGAAAACUGGAACAACAUGGUUAAAGUCCCUCACUUUCGCCAUUGUCACAAGAACCACCUUCGAUGAUUCCACUAGCCCUUUACUUGCCAAUCUAUCACAUGAUUGUGUACCCUUUUUAGAGGUUGAUUUAGCCCAAUCUUCUACCAAUCGAGACCCUAAAAAUCCUUUGUUAGCCACACAUGUCCCUUACUCUUCUUUACCAAGAUCAAUAAUUGAUUCCAGUUGUAAAAUUGUUUACAUUUGUAGGAACCCUAAGGAUUCAUUCGUUUCGUUUUAUCACUUCAUUGCUAGGCUCUCGGCAUCCAAAGACAUGAAGCCCGUUGCUUUAGAAGAGGCCUUUGAGCUUUAUUGCCAAGGUGUAAGCAAUUAUGGAC
rnacentral:lncRNA from 1 species